UGACCGUUCCGAGCUAAUUAGCUACAACUACGAAAGGCCACCAGGCUUGCAGGCGCCACGCAGACCUAGCUUUUUUACGAGUGUUGCAGGGCCGAACAGCAUGGAUCGAUUGUGUCGAACAAACCGGCGGUAUAUAAUCGGCGAUUGACAGCUACCACAGAGAUGGGCCUUCGCUGGACCACCCGACAAGGGGUAUUUUCAUGAUAUCUAGCACAAACACGGCACGACACACAGGCGCACUUCAUUCCUCGCCGUCAAAUUCGCAAAUCGGAUUGUGCUACAAACAAUCGCCACGGUGAAAAUUGAUUGAUUUCAUUCAAAUUGUACUCUGCUGAGUAUUUAGAGCUCGUGCGUGACACUUCUUUAAACGUGCAAUGUGCAAGCUACCCUAAAGUGCAUACAGCAGCUAAACCGCUUCGUGAACAGUGAAAUGAAGCGAAUGAACAAUUAGCGGUGAUCAUGGACGUACUACCGUUCGAUCAGGGGAGCCAAGAUCAAGCCUGUUAGAUAACAUAAAUGAUGUCGAUCGUUCAUCGAGCUGUCCACGAAUACACAUGCGCUCUCAGCGAUGCGAAUCCAAACUCUAAUUGAUAUUUCCUUUGCCUCAUGAGAACGGUUGAAGCCGAUCUUGAAACGUUAUCCUAUGGAAGAUGGCAAACAUGCUGUAUUUACGAUAACUUCUUAGUUCCAAAUCAUCUUGAUGGUCUCUAAUGAUUGUGGUUGUUGACAGCUUCAUAUCAAGCCCCAGAAUCAACUAUCGAAUGUACAGAAAUUAAUUAUUUUAAUUAUGUUGUAUAUAUUCUCUUUAUACUUAUUGUUUAUGUUGAUUAUUCUUAAUUUAUGCAGUGUUUAUUCAAAUCAAACAAUACUUCCUAUCUUUGCAAAUGAUGCUAUUCCAUUCAUCAACUUCGAGAGUUUCGUUGGCAAUAAUGAAGUGAUGAGCGCAAACGGAAUAUGGUGCCCUUCAUGAUUCGGCGAAGGAAAUAUCUUCCAACCAAAGUGAAAGGUGAACUAUCUGUAAAUUGGUCUUAAGCAGACCGUCCUAUUUGAAAAAAAAAUGGGAAAAAUUUCUUCAUGAUACAAAAAGACCAGAAUGGAUAUCAAUAUAAAAUACACAUUUUGUAGAGUUAUUAAUUUAACUAUUAUAAAUGGGAAAUACGCAACACAUCGAUAGAAUAAAACCAUUACACGCCUUUCAGCUGCUCAACGUCGCAAAGCAUUGAUCACGCUCAUGCUUGCAAGCACCGGACCUCCAACCGCUUCAUAGUAGACGACAACUGAGCUUGAAUGAACGAGCCAGCGCGAUCAGAAACGUCGGAAAAGCGGAUGGAAUGGAAGGAAGCGACUGGCGAUAGCGCGAGAUAAAAAAUAAAAUGAAACCAAAAAAGGGGCAGCAACAACAAAAAAUACGCAAGACACACGGCAUCAUCAGAUACGAUAGCGAAUCGCGGCCUGAAAUGAUUCAACGAAGGUUAAGGCCCAUUGAGUAAGGGAAGAACGACUGAAUGACCGGCUCGUGGAGGCCAACGAUAAUAAACCUCGACGGUGUGAAGCUUUUCAACUCACUUAGCCGCUCGAGUAACCAAACACUUGGGCCGGCGGAGCGCGGAAUAGAAACGCAUCAAUGAAUGAAGCUCGUACUGCGGCUGUGUGCAGUGUUGCAGCGGCGUUGAUGCUGUGGCUGAUGUUUCCAUUCAUAAACAUCAAUCAACAGUGGGGCUGCUACUGGCUUGCUUGCCAGCCUGCUUGCCUGCUUGCUUGCUUGGGGAACAUUUACUUGGAGGAUACACUAGUAAUGGCAUGGUGCUAAGCGAUAAGAAACACAGCGGGACGGACGGUUGACGGUGGAGAUAACGAAUCAGGAUUGGAUUAAGCGUGGAGAGGAAAUGACGUUUCAACGUGACGUUCCUCCAGUUUUCUUAUGUUAAUCUAGAGCAAGUGCAAUGCUACAUGCACUUGCUUAAUUGUUAAAUAAAAGCUAACGAUGGUUUAUAUCUGGCCGACAACAAAUAUUUGCAGAUGGAAUAUUUCGCCGCUCAUUGCAAUUAUACUCCAUGCAAAUGCAAUGGGUAGUUUGAGUAUACGCGCUUAUUAGAAAUUAAAAACUAUCAAUCAUUCUCUUAUGAAAUUUUUUUUAACACUACACUCAGUAGUUUCCUUUCGUGGAGGAAUUAAACUUAAAAUACGAAAAGCCUAUUUUAUUUAAAGUAACGUGUGGUUAUAAGAUACGCCGGACAUCAACCAAAAGAAUAAAUAAUAAGUAGAUAGUUAUUAGAACGGGUUUAUUAUAGAUUAACAUACUAAAAAAAUCGAUGUCAGAAUGAUUUUACAUAAACAAAAAUCAAUUUCAACACAAUGGCAAUCCCGUUGGGUUAGGGGUGGGAGUCUUCCCAUGGCAAAACUGAUACCAAAUCAAGAACGGUACGACCUCUUAUGGACCUCAACUUAUACACAUGUAUACGCCAUACUAUGCUUACAAGGACCUCAAAUACCUCAAGUACCAGGAAACACAAGGAAAACCCUUGUUAAAUACCUUCCAGUGCAUUUUGAAAUUCCAAAAGAAAGAGACUAUUUAGUUGUAAAAGAGUACUUCACAAAUAAAAUAAUUUCCAAAAA